AUAUAUAGUUAUUCUUUUUGUUUUCUUUUUUUAUAUAGAAUGGAGCCUACAUUUAGGACGAAACCAGAAGGAGGUCUGAACAUGUGCGACUCCUUGGUCGCUCUUAAGAAGGAGGAGGAAAAUAAGAAAAAACCUUGGUCUCGGGCUCUGUCCCCAGAUAAGGUGUUGGAGGCUGCUAGACAAGCUGUAUUGCGCCAGGGUGAAGACCCGAGCAAUAAGAAAUAUGUUCUGGGGCUACAUGAAAUGCAGUUUGGUGUGUUCAAAGGCCAGACAUUUAAGUGGGCUGCUGAAAAUGCCCUCGGUUAUGCUGGAUAUUUGGUGGCAAGUAUGAGGAGGGAAUCAGCUGAUUUUAAAGACUCCAAAAAUCACCAUGCUAAUAAAGCAGCCUUUGCAGAGUACAUAGGACUUUUCCCAGAGGGUCGUGAGGCCAUUCGUAUCAAAACUGAAAACAUGGGUUGCCCAUCCUUCCAGGAUAUGUCCCCGCAGAAGUCUCCCAGUGCCCCACAGUCCUUACCUUCAGUCUCCUCUGUUCGUUCCCUUCUGAUUGGCAAAACACGACAUCCACAGAGCAUUGACAAAGUGGUCAAAAAAUGGUAAUGCCACCAGUAGCCAAUCCAGCUUUGACUGGAAGAUUUGUAAAAGCCUACUGUGCCAGUGCCUGUAGAAUCUACUAGUAUGGCCUCAUUUGGGCCAUCUGAGCAGGAUGACCAUGAACUUGUUUCUCAGGCAGACUUGCUGGAAUCUCAGGAAAACAAAUUUGCCUUCCUGUGGGCUGGAAUCACACAUUGCCACCUGCUGAUCAGCUCUGGAUAUCAAAGGUUUUGUUUAAGUAUUCAUCCCACAACCAACCAGAAAUGGACUUCACCAGAGUGGAUAGGAUGUGGUGGUACCCUCCACAGUCCCUUUUUGCAGUUGCAGGAGUACCAAAUGCUUGAUCGUGGGCCCUCACAUACAACAUAUCAUAGGGCUGAAAUCCUCAGCUUUUGGGAAGGGCUUUAAAAUAAUCAUCAAAAAUAUUCAGGGUUAAAGACAGAAAUGUGUUCGCUACUUUUCUGACCCUUUUGACCCCCGAAACAAGGUCGUUGGGCCACCAAACUUUUCCGCCAGCUCAAGGAAGUCCCCUUGAGACAAAGAUUUUGAAUUCGGCUCAAUUGGACCCUUUUGAGCUGUGUCCACGAAGUUAGUAUGGUAAACCCAUUCAAAUAGGUUGCAAGUGGGAUUUAUCUAAAAGGGUCCCAGGGGCCCCAAAUUGCACACGGGUCUCCGUCAAUGGCCCCUGAGUGAUGUACUGAGCGGGCUGAGGCCCAGCCCACUAAAUAGUAUUUUUUAUUAUUUUUGAUCCAUCUCUCUCCUUGCCAUUUAAGUCAAUGGGAAAGACUCAGACAUAGGCCCGAUUUCAGUCCCACACUCAGCCGUACUUAAAAGGCUUAGAAAGCAGCUAGGGGCCCCAAACUUUGGGGGCCAAUUCAGGGGCCUCUAGUAGUAAACCCUACAAAGUUUUGAGGUCCUAUGACCUGUCGUAUCCGAACAGAAGACGUCCCACUUGUCAACUAAUCGUGUAGCAGUUCGGUGUACACGCUGUCCCUUUUUUGACCUUUUGACCCCUAAACGUGGUCGUAGGAUAACCAAACUUUUCCUCCAGGGGACCGUAACGAUACGCAAAUGGCGCACUCGGGUCAAUCUGAGUUCUCCGAGCCGUGUCUGUGAAGUUACUAUAGUAAACCCAUUCAAAUAGGUGGAGAGUGGGCUUUUCCUAGAAGGGCCCCAGGGCCCCCACAUUUGCAUUGUGGUCCCCAGGGGCCCGCCAAAUGACAUACUGAGGACCUGGGUUCUAAAGUGAAAAGAAUAUUUUUUGGGCUCUUACAAAAAAUCUCUGCUGCAGGCCUCUCUCUCUUAUACACAGCAAGACCCUUUUGAGAAUUUUAAGUUGGGGAAGCUCAAUUGUUUCUGCAAUGGCCUAGAGCCCCGUGGUUUGGGGCCGUGUGUCAGGGGCCCCUACUUAAUCAGAAUCCCAAAUCUUGAGGUCCUACGACUUGUCAUCUCUGAACAGGAGACGUCCCACUUGGUAACUAAUCGUGUAGUAGUUUGGCAGACACGUGGUCCCUUUUUAGACCUUUUGACCCCUAAAUGAGGUCGUAGGGUCACCAAACUUUUCCGCCCAUUCGAGGGGCCCGUGAUGAUACGCAAAUGGGACCCUCGGGUCGAUUGGACCUUCCUAAGCCAUGUCCAUAAAGUUACAAUGGUAAAUCCAUUCAAAUAGGUUGAGAGUGGAUUUUUUUAGAAGGAUCCCAGUGG
ensembl:lncRNA